GACGAACGCUGGCGGCGUGCUUAACACAUGCAAGUCGAACGGAAAGGCCCUGCUUUUGUGGGGUGCUCGAGUGGCGAACGGGUGAGUAACACGUGAGUAACCUGCCCUUGACUUUGGGAUAACUUCAGGAAACUGGGGCUAAUACCGGAUAGGAGCUCCUGCUGCAUGGUGGGGGUUGGAGAGUUUCGGCGGUUGGGGAUGGACUCGCGGCUUAUCAGCUUGUUGGUGGGGUAGUGGCUUACCAAGGCUUUGACGGGUAGCCGGCCUGAGAGGGUGACCGGCCACAUUGGGACUGAGAUACGGCCCAGACUCCUACGGGAGGCAGCAGUGGGGAAUAUUGCACAAUGGGCGGAAGCCUGAUGCAGCAACGCCGCGUGCGGGAUGACGGCCUUCGGGUUGUAAACCGCUUUCGCCUGUGACGAAGCGUGAGUGACGGUAAUGGGUAAAGAAGCACCGGCUAACUACGUGCCAGCAGCCGCGGUGAUACGUAGGGUGCGAGCGUUGUCCGGAUUUAUUGGGCGUAAAGGGCUCGUAGGUGGUUGAUCGCGUCGGAAGUGUAAUCUUGGGGCUUAACCCUGAGCGUGCUUUCGAUACGGGUUGACUUGAGGAAGGUAGGGGAGAAUGGAAUUCCUGGUGGAGCGGUGGAAUGCGCAGAUAUCAGGAGGAACACCAGUGGCGAAGGCGGUUCUCUGGGCCUUUCCUGACGCUGAGGAGCGAAAGCGUGGGGAGCGAACAGGCUUAGAUACCCUGGUAGUCCACGCUGUAAACGGUGGGUACUAGGUGUGGGGUCCAUUCCACGGGUUCCGUGCCGUAGCUAACGCUUUAAGUACCCCGCCUGGGGAGUACGGCCGCAAGGCUAAAACUCAAAGGAAUUGACGGGGCCCCGCACAAGCGGCGGAGCAUGCGGAUUAAUUCGAUGCAACGCGUAGAACCUUACCUGGGUUUGACAUGGAUCGGGAGUGCUCAGAGAUGGGUGUGCCUCUUUUGGGGUCGGUUCACAGGUGGUGCAUGGCUGUCGUCAGCUUGUGUCGUGAGAUGUUGGGUUAAGUCCCGCAACGAGCGCAACCCUUGUUCACUGUUGCCAGCACGUUAUGGUGGGGACUCAGUGGAGACCGCCGGGGUCAACUCGGAGGAAGGUGGGGAUGACGUCAAGUCAUCAUGCCCCUUAUGUCCAGGGCUUCACGCAUGCUACAAUGGCUGGUACAGAGAGUGGCGAGCCUGUGAGGGUGAGCGAAUCUCGGAAAGCCGGUCUCAGUUCGGAUUGGGGUCUGCAACUCGACCUCAUGAAGUCGGAGUCGCUAGUAAUCGCAGAUCAGCAACGCUGCGGUGAAUACGUUCCCGGG
rnacentral:rRNA from 1 species